AGGAUGAGGGUUGUGAAAGAGGUUAGGUUAGCCUCCUGUCCGACGUAAAAAACCUACGACUCAAGAACUACAGACUCAAAGAAUUUCGAUGACUCGCCUGGCGAGUCGCGAUGAGAAAGAGGCAAUUGUGCCUAUUUUGAAGAAAGAAGAAGAAGAUAUUGGAAAUUCCGCAAACAACAUUUCUUAAAAUAGCAGCUGAACGUGGACCUUUUAUCAAUUAAUCAAAAUCAUCAUCUGUUUAUAUGGCUAAACUGACCCUGAUCAAUUUACUUCAAUGCAUUUCUAUGGUUGGAAGAUGAUUUCGAAUUUUGGGGAAAAACUGGACAAUUACUCACGUAGAGUGUACGAAGGAAAUACUUGGAGGCUUUAAUAUUUGUGGAACAACAAGUGGAGACCAUCAUUUUUCUCCAGCACUAUGAGUAUACGUGAUUUUACUGAGAUUCUCAUCUCGAUACAUUCAUCUCGAUAAAAGAAAAGAGAGGAGUCAAAGUUUGCAAAUAGAAAAAAUUCGCUUUGGUCUCAACAGUUUGGGACAAAUUUAUUGAUAACAGUCAUAAUUGCUUCAAACUGGGGGGAGCUUGUAUUACCGUGGAUGAGCAACUCUUUUCAACGAAGGCUAGAUGCAGAUUUAGCCAGUAUAUGCCAAACAAACCCCAUAAAUUUGGCAUAAAAUUUUGGCUGGUGUCUGAUGUACAAACGAAAUAUGUGGCAAGUGGCUUUCUGUAAUUAGGAAAAGAUGAGGCUCGAAAUGCAUCAACCCUCCUAAGCGAAUUUAUCGUAAUGAAACUUCUUAAACCGUAUACCAUGAAGGGUAGAAUUGUAA